rnacentral:tRNA from 1 species
UUAUUUGUAGUUUAAAAAGAAUAGCUUAUUUACACUUAGCAGGUAAUAUUAUAUUCGAAUAAU